UCCGGAGUAGCUCAGCGGUAGAGCGGGUGGCUGUUAACCACUAGGCCGGGGGUUCGAAUCCCUCCUCCGGAGCCA
rnacentral:tRNA from 1 species